GAAAUGCGAUAAGUAGUGUGAAUUGCAGAAUUCAGUGAAUCAUCGAAUCUUUGAACGCACAUUGCGCCCCUUGGUAUUCCAUGGGGCAUGCCUGUUCGAGCGUCAUCUACACCCUCAAGCUCUGCUUGGUGUUGGGCGUCUUUGUCCCGCCUCCGCGCGCGGACUCGCCCCAAAUUCAUUGGCAGCGGUCCUUGCCUCCUCUCGCGCAGCACAUUGCGCUUCUCGAGGUGUUGCGGCCCGCGUCCAGAAAGCAAUCGUUACCGUCUUUGACCUCGGAUCAGGUAGGGAUACCCGCUGAUCUUAAGC
rnacentral:misc_RNA from 1 species